AAAGUCGCUUUCUUUCUGCCAAUAUACUCGAGCUGAUCCUUUUUCUUCCUUUCGCGUAACAAUGCUUCACCGCUUCAUGACCAAGAAAAUCGGUACGCAUGAUUCGGAAGAAGAGAUUGCAACAGAACUAAAUGGAAAAUCGACUAAAAUAUCUUUUCGCUGUGGGAUAAACACACUAAAGAAACUCACUGGUAUUACAUACAACAUGUACCGUGGAUAACUUUCCAGUCUCUAUUAUCAUAAUGCCGAUUAUCAGCAACUAAAUGAAAUAGUCAGACACACAUAUGCAAUGAAGUAAGACGAUAAAAAUAUGUUGCAAGGCUUGCAUAAUUCAAUAUCCGAUAUAAAUAUUGUGACCAAAUACGACUGCACGAUGUUCAUCACAAACGAUCUGUCAUGUUUUACGCAAGACAUAGACCAUCUUAUGACGGAAGACGCAAUGCUUCGUUCCACCGAAUUUCUAACGGGUAACCUCUUUCGAAAGGAAAGUUCGAUCGGUACAUCGAUCCAGUCAUCGAAACGAACGACAGGCGGCUCUGAAUUCAACUCGAGAGAUCGCAGGAUCCAUCUCGUGGCCAUAUGUGUGAUGAGAGGAGCAGGUAUGUAACGGGCCAGGGGCCACUUAUCUGUUGUCCGGUGGAAUUUAGUUUCUUUUUUUGAGGCAGGUCACUGACACCGAACGGCAAUGGAUUGACGCGGCGAGGUCAAGUCCUACGUGCGCUGUCGACAAUACUUCACGUUUAAAGGUAUCACCAAACAUUCCUUGCGGGAUAUCGCGUUACUUACGCCGAUACGGAACCAUGAUCAAUCGUCCGAACCCAGUCUCUGACUAUACAACGAAAGAUUCAAGUCGUAAAUCGUUGCGGAAGGUGCAAAUGGUGUAGCUUAUGGUGGUAAACAACAUAGCUGUAAUACGUCUAUUUUGGAAGGAAAGAAAAGUGUUUCGAACGUUGUUCUUCUUUAAUUUAUGCCGAAACGUAUAGUUUGUGGUCUGUCAUAUUUGAAUUAAUAAUUGCGUAGAAUUGACAACUAAUCAAAGCCUACGUUCGAUGCGCGCGCAACAUUACCUACUUAGGAAGUGCUUGAAAAAAUAUACUUACAAAACUAGUUUUUCUAGUUGACAUUAAUUUUUCAAUUUAUGAACAACAGGUUUAUAUUACACGUUGCUGUCAUUCAUUAAAUCAGCUCUCAUAUGAUAUCGUAGUUGCUCAUGUCUGAAGUGUCACGUACAUAUUCAGAUAUUUCCUACACUCAUCUUUUGAUGAGUAUAAUAUUUUUAUUAUACUCGUCAGAUGUGUCCUUUUAUUUACAUAAUUUAAUUUCUCUAUCUAGUUUUUUCUAUUUGACUGAAGAGCAAAAAUUUCCAAAUCCUAUUUCUAUUAUUUCUAAUUAUUCAAAAUAAUAAUUCUAAGGAUUUUUAAAAUCGAGGAUGCUGAUGAUUUCAUAAAGUGAUUUCUUAUGAAUUAUGUAUGAUAUAUGCUUAGUGAAAAACUCAUAAUAAUACAUAAGAUACAUAUUUCAUAAAAUUAUCAAAGAAUGAUGAUAUGAUAUACAAUGAAUUAACGCUGAAUAGUAAAUAGAUAAUUACACUCGUCUACAAACAUUAACCAGUGAUUUUUACAGCAACCGCUUCUCAGAGCAUCUUUCAGAGUCAGAGUGGGAAAUAUACAAAUGAAUUCCUAGCAUGAGAACGAAAAUAACGGCACUUACUAUUAAAAUAGAGGUUAGUAAUUAAUUAUCGAAGCACCUUGAAGAAGACUUAUUUAAUUUUUUCUCUCUUUUUCAAUAUCACGGAAUAAUUUCGAUAUGUAUGGUAAAUAUUUUUAUAUCGUAAGAUAUGCGAAUAUGUUGCGUUUCUACUUCUAUUUUAAUGAUAUUUUUCCGACUUCAUACUAAAAUGUAGGAACGUUAUUAAAUAACUAAUUAAAUCUUAGUAGAAAGUAAAUUAAUGGUUUCAUUUUAUCCCGAUUAGAUAGACAUCAAAUGUUACCUGAAUAUCAAAUACUAUAUACAAGGAUUGAUUAAUAGAAUAAUAGAAUAACACCAUAAAAUAAUAGAAUAAUACCUAAAUAGUAGAAUAAUACUAUUAUUCAUACAGAUUUUGUUAAAGCAAAAAUAAAACAGUUUACAACAACUUGCUCGAUUAGGUAAUAUUUUAUCCAUGUAACUGUAAUUCGUAGAAAAUAUGUAUUUUCUCGCAAGUUUGUAAACUAUUUAUGGAAAUUUUCAAAUAUCUACAUUACUACUAGAUAUUAUACUAUUAUAUUGUUACCUAA